AGAGUUUGAUCCUGGCUCAGGAUGAACGCUGGCGGCGUGCUUAACACAUGCAAGUCGAACGAGCCUUCGGGCUAGUGGCGGACGGGUGAGUAACGCGUGAGAAUCUGCCCUCAGGAGGGGGAUAACGGCUGGAAACGGCCGCUAAUACCCCAUAUGCCGCGAGGUGAAACGAGUUUUCGCCUGAGGAUGAGCUCGCGUCUGAUUAGCUAGUUGGUGGGGUAAGAGCCUACCAAGGCAUCGAUCAGUAGCUGGUCUGAGAGGAUGAUCAGCCACACUGGGACUGAGACACGGCCCAGACUCCUACGGGAGGCAGCAGUGGGGAAUUUUCCGCAAUGGGCGCAAGCCUGACGGAGCAACGCCGCGUGAGGGAUGAAGGCCUCUGGGCUGUAAACCUCUUUUCUCAAGGAAGAAGAACUGACGGUACUUGAGGAAUAAGCCACGGCUAAUUCCGUGCCAGCAGCCGCGGUAAUACGGGAGUGGCAAGCGUUAUCCGGAAUUAUUGGGCGUAAAGCGUCCGCAGGCGGUCUUGAAAGUCUGUUGUUAAAGCGUGGAGCUCAACUCCAUUUCAGCAAUGGAAACUAGAAGACUAGAGUGUGGUAGGGGCAGAGGGAAUUCCCGGUGUAGCGGUGAAAUGCGUAGAUAUCGGGAAGAACACCAGUGGCGAAGGCGCUCUGCUGGGCCAUAACUGACGCUCAUGGACGAAAGCCAGGGGAGCGAAAGGGAUUAGAUACCCCUGUAGUCCUGGCCGUAAACGAUGAACACUAGGUGUCGGGGGAAUCGACCCCCUCGGUGUCGUAGCUAACGCGUUAAGUGUUCCGCCUGGGGAGUACGCACGCAAGUGUGAAACUCAAAGGAAUUGACGGGGGCCCGCACAAGCGGUGGAGUAUGUGGUUUAAUUCGAUGCAACGCGAAGAACCUUACCAGGGUUUGACAUCCUGCGAAUCUUUUGGAAACAGAAGAGUGCCUUCGGGAGCGCAGAGACAGGUGGUGCAUGGCUGUCGUCAGCUCGUGUCGUGAGAUGUUGGGUUAAGUCCCGCAACGAGCGCAACCCACGUCUUUAGUUGCCAGCAUUCAGUUGGGCACUCUAGAGAGACCGCCGGUGAUAAACCGGAGGAAGGUGUGGAUGACGUCAAGUCAUCAUGCCCCUUACAUCCUGGGCUACACACGUACUACAAUGCUACGGACAGAGGGCAGCAAACUCGCGAGAGCUAGCAAAUCCCAUAAACCGUGGCUCAGUUCAGAUCGUAGGCUGCAACUCGCCUACGUGAAGGAGGAAUCGCUAGUAAUCGCAGGUCAGCAUACUGCGGUGAAUACGUUCCCGGGCCUUGUACACACCGCCCGUCACACCAUGGAAGUUGGCCAUGCCCGAAGUCGUUACUCCAACCCUUGUGGAGGAGGACGCCGAAGGUGGGGCUGAUGACUGGGGUGAAGUCGUAACAAGGUA
rnacentral:rRNA from 1 species